rnacentral:lncRNA from 1 species
AAAAAAAAAAAAAAAAAAGAAUCAAAGCUUUAAAAUCCAGCAGAAGUAAAAUUUCCAAGUGGGAGGGAAGAGGAUCAACAGGAGAAUCUGCAAGAGUAAAAGAGGAAGAAGAUGUGUGCUGCAUGGCACAAAAUGAAUCUGCAAAGCAUCUGGGAACUGCAGACCCUACUGAUGCCUGGAACUCACUGGAGUCAGCAUGUCCAGGCAGUCAUUGUAGCAAGUCAGAGUGGUGUGAUGAAAUGCUUCAGGAGAAAAACAUUUCACCACAGCCUGGUUCACUCAGAUACCUUGCCAGGGAACCAACAUCUCACUCGGGCCUCUGAUAUUGUAACUGUGGGCCUUUAAGAAACAACGGAAAACCCAACUGAAUAAAAACUGACCUCCUUUGUGGCUGCCCUGAUGGAAGGGGCUCAGGAGCAACAGCCUUCAUGGUGCCCACCCUCUGGGCCAGAACAACGGAUGCCCCACAACUGAGUUUAGUGCCUCCAAGAACCACAGCUUUUUUUUGCAGCAGUAAGAGCAUACCUCUGAGGCACUGUGAAGAAUCUGAUAGUCGAACUGAAUGAAGCCAAGUCCAGUCUUUACGGAAAAAUUUACACAACACUUCCAGAUGAUAUCUGCAUACCAGCUGGGGAUAGAAUGUAAUCCGUCCUGCAGAAGUUAAACCAUGUGUCAUGUGAAGAGCAGGAGAUGGUAAGUCAGGGACAUUUGAUGGAAAACCUCUCGGAAAUGUCAACCUCAGUAUCACAUGUUCAUCUAACUUCAGAUUUCAGAGUUCGUGAUAUUUGUGCUAGAGCCAGUCAUUGGAGUCAGUUCAAGUUUGGAGAAAAUUUUCUUCCAAAUUAACAAGAGAGAAGGAAGAAGGAGAGAAGAAGAAAGAGGAAGGAAGAAAGGAA